rnacentral:rRNA from 1 species
AACUGGAUUAGAAGCUUGCUUCUAUGACGUUAGCGGCGGACGGGUGAGUAACACGUGGGCAACCUGCCUGUAAGACUGGGAUAACUUCGGGAAACCGAAGCUAAUACCGGAUAGGAUCUUCUCCUUCAUGGGAGAUGAUUGAAAGAUGGUUUCGGCUAUCACUUACAGAUGGGCCCGCGGUGCAUUAGCUAGUUGGUGAGGUAACGGCUCACCAAGGCAACGAUGCAUAGCCGACCUGAGAGGGUGAUCGGCCACACUGGGACUGAGACACGGCCCAGACUCCUACGGGAGGCAGCAGUGGUCAAGCAUUUUUUUCCUGA